rnacentral:rRNA from 1 species
CCUACGGGAGGCUGCAGUGGGGAAUAUUGCACAAUGGGGGAAACCCUGAUGCAGCGACGCCGCGUGAGUGAAGAAGUAAUUCGUUAUGUAAAGCUCUAUCAGCAGGGAAGAAAAUGACGGUACGAGAGUAAGAAGCACCGGCUAAAUACGUGCCAGUAGCCGCGGUAUUACGUAUGGUGCAAGCGUUAUCUGGAUUUACUGGGUGUAAAGGGAGCGCAGGCGGCACGGCAAGACAGAUGUGAAAGCCCGCGGCCCAACCGGGGGACUGCAUAGGGAACUGCCGGGCUUGAGUGCCGGAGAGGUAGGCGGAAUUCCUAGUGUAGCAGUGAAAUGCGUAGAUAUUAGGAGGAACACCAGUGGCGAAGGCGGCCUACUGGACGGUGACUGACGCUGAGACUCGAAAGCGUGGGGAGCAAACAGGAUUAGAUACCCGAGUAGUC